UUAAGGUCAUUGAACUUAUCCUUUAAUAUAGAUUUUGAUGAACAUAGCUACAGAUGAAAAUUACCGGCAGCAGAUGUUAAUACCCGUAUAAACCGGAAUCAAGGUGUAAACAACUCAGAUAUGGCUGAAAAUAAGCUACGACCAAGACAUGAAUUAGAAGAUGUUUUGAAAGGAAUCAGCAAUUCAUUACAUCUCUCUGGUAUGCAUUUAGAAUUAUCCUCAGAAGAACGCAUGGAUAGUCUUAUCUUGUUUUUGAAAGAAAAUUUUUGGAUAGAUGAACCCUUAUGCAAAUCUGUAGGCCUGAAAGUUUGUGAAGAUACAACUAGAAGGACUGCAUCACGUUUAAAAGACAAUCUGUCAAUCUUAAUGGUGUCCAACACUACAGGCGAUAUCAUAGGAUGUAGGACAAUGUGUAUAGAAAUAUUAAAUGAAGCAGACCACACAGCAGUACCGCAGAUUCAAAAUGAAAAUUUGAAAAAGAUCAGAACUUUUCUGGCACACAAAUGGGAGGAAAAGAAUGUAUUUAAACAUUUUGGUGUUAAAAAGGCAGUACAUUUUCUUCAUUUGUCGACGGGGAAGAAUUACCAUGGGCGUGGAAUAGCCUCUAAAUUAAUGCAGGCUUCACUAGCAUUUUGUAAAGAACUAGGAUUUACCCAAGUGUGCAUUGCUGGUGAAUGUACUUCCAACAUAUCACAGAAAAUCUUUGAGAAAUUUGAUUUUGAAAAUUUGUACACGGUUAGAUAUGAUGAAUAUAAAGUUAAUGAUGAAAUCGUUUUCACAAAUAUGGGUGACAAUAAAGCAGCUAAGUUUUUUGUUAAACAGUUAUAAAUAAGGUAUUUUAUGAAUAGUUGUCAGUUUUUAAUUGCACUUCAAAUCAACCAUUUCAACUCAAAACCUCAGGACUAUUGUUAAAAAAUUGUAUAAGCAGAGAAACAUCUAAAAGUAUAAUCUCAUAUAUUGAACCUGAUGUAGCAUAUAUAAUCAAUGUGUAUACUUAUCAACCUAUUGUGGAUUCAUUUUAUUUUUGCUAAUAUCAAUUUUUUUGUGGAUUGAGAAAAAUAUUUAUUUUUGGGAAUACCAGUACUUGAAUUCAUGGUUUUUGUUAUAUUGGGCAUACAAAUGAUAAGUAUUUAAGUAACAAAACAAAUUCUACAUUUUAUUUUUACAAUAUCAAUAAAUAAAUAACAAUAUACUAUAAAAACAACAAUGACAAAAGUUUACAUGGUCAUGGAAAGGUGGGCUAGGGCAGGUUAUGUGUAUAACAAGUUCACAUCAGGAGACUGUACCAUAUUAUUAUAAUAUACAUAGCAAUAUUCAACUAUUAAAGUGGUAGAAGUUAGUUUUAUGACAAUGUAGUAGUAAGUCAUAAAAAAGAUUAUUGCAACCAUCAAUCACAGUUAUUGAUGACAGCUAAAAUUUCAAUACUAGUACUGUAAAUGGUUUAUUCACUACAAUAAUACAAUGUAUAUUCCCUUUUUGGAUUUCUAAAGAAGAAUACUGUUUAAUGCUACUGUGAUGACAAAUAGACAAUUACUUUUUUCAUAACAGAUAACGAUGCCAAACACUUGCAAAAUACUCUGAUUGCCAUGAAUUAUAUAUGAUAGUACAUGUAUGUUACAAAAAAGUUUGCUGUAAGAUAACUGUUUUAUGCUGCAAGUCAUUUGAAAAUAAAUAUUUAUGAAAAUUUAUUUAAAAGUAAAAAACUUUGCUACAAAAAGUCAUCUACUUCAGGAGAUAAUACAUAUUAUAAAACUGGAGCCUGAAAUCGCUCACCUAGUAUAUUUAUCCCCUAAUUGCUCAAGAGAAGAUAACUUCUGACAAAUCUAACUUUCUAUUGCUUUGUUUUAAUCCACUUAAGUUUGAAAUCCUACCACCUUCUUGCAGUUUGGAAGAGAAGGUUUUUGAAAUUUGUCAAUCAGAAUCUAACAUUGUCUCUAUAAUCCAUCAAAUCAGAACCAAAUGAUGAUUACUUACAAGGGAUCUUCCAUACAUCAUUACUGCCAGGAUGUUUUGAGAGAGAAUGUGAUUUUCCAAAGGGUCUUAAUGGGAACCAUGUGCAACCUAUGCCUUCAAGUUUGCUAUUUGAUAAAAAUUGAAUGAAGAACAUUGUUGAGGGUCUUUAACCAUCAGUCCCAAAGUUUCAUAACAUUUUGCCUUCUAGCUUGAAAAAUGGCAAAUCAGAAUCAAAGAUUGCCCUGGUAUCCAUUUUUGUCCAUGCAAUAUGUAUAAAAUUUAAAUGUUUUUUAGAAUACCUUCCCUCCAUAAUUGCUGCCAAGUUUUGUUAAAAUUGGAUAAGUAGUUUCAGAAAAGGAAAUAAAAAUAAGAUCAGUUUAAGGAAGUUGGAUGAUAAGGAAUGGUCAAUGGAAGGCCAGGUGAGCUUAGAAAAUCUAUAUAUGAUUGUUAAAAACCAUUCUAUACUAGAUUUAGACUUUUAGACCAUUGACUUAUAUGUUACAAAUAUCAUUCAUUGAAUCAAUCAAGACAGUAGAAAACAAAAACCCAUAAAAUUGGUUAAAAUUGUCAUUUAAAAUCAAUAACACCUAUAAGGACAAUUUUGGUCAAGAUUGAAAGUAGGUAGACCUUGAUGUGAAUUUUUGCCUGAGAUUUUCUUUAUCUAUAAUGGUUUUCAAAAUACUUGCAUUAAAAAAAUUUCAGUCCUAUAUUUUAUUUUUAGCCUUGAUGGUCGUGUUGGUUGCCAGGUGGGAAUCAUCAGACACACUUCUUAAUAAGAUACCCAAGAAUGAUUGUUGCCAACUUUGGUUCCAAUAGGCCCAGUUGUUUCAGAGGAGAAGAUUUUUGUAAAAGUUAACAGAGGAUACCAGACACCAAGUGAUGAAAGCUAAAAAAAAAAACAGUGUUUUUUUUUAUAAAGUUUAGACAUAUAUUUGUAAACCUUUGUAAAAAAUCUUUUACCUCAUGCAGACAUCAUAAUUGACAUAUAUUUGUACCUGUGACAUAACAUCAGCUAGUACAUAAUAAAAGUAAGCAUAUAUCCUACUAAAUUCUCUUAUUAUUUAGUGAAACUCCUUAAUGAAAAAGUUCUUUAUUUUAACAGAGAUUAAAUUUCAUGAUUUGUUAGUUCAAAUUCUUUUUAAAGGUUUUAUUUUAGUGUUUUUGCCCUCAUUCUAAUCUUCUUAAAGAUUGAAUUUAUAAAAGGAAAAAUUUUUGCUUUUUAACCUAAUUACUGAAAUUGAUUGAAAAAACAACAAAAAAUUCCCAUUUCUUAUCAUGCAACAUCUAAAUUUUGAUAACUUGGUUUUGAUUGGCCAAAUGGUUUAAGGGUGAUAAUUGAAAUAAAUAUUGCAGGGCAAUAAUGGCAAAACACACUGCAGGGGCUUGAAUUUCGACAAUAGCUAUCAAUUGCCCUUUGGUCAAGUAGAACAUAAAAAGAUAUUUUUUAAUUUGGCCCCAUACAACAUUAACAUGCAAUGGAAAAUCUGAUCAUUGCUAAAUUUUGAUAUUAUAAUUGUGGUCAAACUUGGUUUUGAUUAGCUAAAUGGUUUCAUGGUAAUAAUUGAAAAAACAUUGCAGGACAACAAUGAAAAAAACACCGUGCAGAGGUAAGCGAUGGCAAUAGUUAUCAAUUGCCCUUUGUUCAAGUAGAGUAUAAAAGGAUGUUUUAAAUUUAGCCCCAUACAAAAACAACAUACAAUAAAAAUUUUGGUUCAAGAAAAAUAUUGUUGGUACAUCAAAGAAAUUUCGGUUCAAUCAAAAUAUUGUUUGGUACGACAAAGAAAUUUCGGUUCAAUCAAAAUAUUGUUUGGUACGACAAAGAAAUUUCGGUUCAAUCAAAAUAUUGUUUGGUACAACAAAGAAAUUUUGGUUCAAUCAAAAUAUUGUUUGGUACGACAAAGAAAUUUCGGUUCAAUCAAAAUAUUGUUUGGUAUGACAGAGAAAUUUGAUUCAAGCAAAAUAUUGUUUUGUAUGACAGAGAAAUUUGGUUCAAGCAAAAUAUUGUUUGGUAUGACAGAGAAAUUUGGUUCAAGCUAAAUAUUGUUUGGUAUGACAAAGAAAUUCAGGUUCAAGCUAAAUAUUGUUUGGUACAACAAGUGGUAUUGGUUCAAGCAUUAUUUGUUUUAUACAACAGAGGAAUUUUGUUUCAAGCAAAAUAUUGGUU